rnacentral:lncRNA from 1 species
ACACUAAGUUCUGGAGAUUUAUUUUGAAAACUUACAAAUCACAUGAUGAGUUCGUAGCAUUACAAACCACCUACCACAGCCAUACUUGCUAUAACAUCUUUUACUAUAUUCACAUUGAGUUUGAUCGAGCUGUGUAGACCCUUAGGAGCUUUUCAUGUGGUUAAACUAAGAUAUUCACUUGCACACAUCUACCACAGCAUUCAUCACCAAUCAUUAAAAUUGCUAAAAAUAUUUUCACUCACCGUCCCGAAUAUUGUUAUUCUCUCUCUCUCAAAAGAUUCAAUGCAGAAGAGGCAUGGGUUAUGCAAAAAUAUGCGAGGAAAUAAAAAGGGGCAAGUGCCCGGAACCUCGAAAAAGAAAGAAAAAGAGUGAGACGAGAGGUAAAAAUGGACAAGUGUCCGAAGUAGAAUUAGGGGUACAAAAAUGCCCACUCGAGAGGAAAAAAAUGGAUAAGUGUCCGACAGUAGAAUUAGGGGUAUCUACUACCCACCUGAAAAAAAAAAGAUAGCCCAUGUUCUCCCAAGGCAAGGAUCAAAGAAGAGGAGAGAUAGCAAUAUGAGGAGCAAUGAGAAGUAAAUUUUAUUAUCACUUAUGCAUUUUCACCAUCACUAUCAUUUACUCCAUCACACAUGCACAUCUUGAUUUAAUUAUAUGCUGAGUUCCUUUGGAUCCAUGGCUCGAUUAGACAACAUAUGUAUGAGCUGUUUUCCACUCCUAUGAGCUCCACUUAAAUAUUCCAUUAGCUAUAGGUAAGUGACAUUAUGGUAAGGAUCCACAAAUACCACAUAUAGAG